CCGCAAUCACACACUGGGGAGGGGGGGGGGUCCCACAAUCACACACUGGGGGAGGGGGGGGUCCCCGCAAUCACAGAAUAUUCGGCGUUACCUUCUUGUUGAUGUCGCUCCAGAUCCAGCCUUUAACCUCAUUGUCCCCGGAGCUGAUCA